rnacentral:misc_RNA from 1 species
AAGUCGUAACAAGGUUUCCGUAGGUGAACCUGCGGAAGGAUCAUUACCAAAUCCAAAUACCCAAACCCCAUGUGAACUAUUGUAUAGUCUGUCUUUGGGAGAAAAGCAUCCAAGAAAAAUUAGCUUUUAUUAGCUCUUUUUUCUUGGAUUUUUCUCCCAAUAGAGUCCGGCGCAACUUUAUUGUUGUGUCCAGAUUCGAAACCCUAAACCACUUGAUUUUUCUGUUGGAAUUUUCUUUUUAUAAUUUUAAAUAAAAGACAACUUUUAACAACGGAUCUCUUGGCUCUC